GCAGUUGUGGCCCAGUGUAUAAGGAGUUUGACUGGUGAUCAGAAAGUCGCUGGUUCGAUCCCCUCAACCUCA